rnacentral:rRNA from 1 species
AGAGGAACACCAGUUGCGAAGGCGGAUCUCUGGACGGUUUCUGACGCUGAGGCACGAAAGCUGGGGUAGCGAAGAGGAUUAGAUACCCUCGUAGUCCCAGCCGUAAACGGUGCGCACUUGCUGUGGGCGGAUUCGACCCCGUCCGUGGCGAAGCUAACGCGAUAAGUGUGCCGCCUGGGGAGUACGGUCGCAAGAUUAAAACUCAAAGAAAUUGACGGGGGCCUGCACAAGCGGUGGAGUAUGUGGCUUAAUUCGAUGCAACGCGAAGAACCUUACCUGGCCUUGACAUGUAGUGGACCGGGUGCGAAAUCACCCUUUCCUUCGGGACUGCUACACAGGUGCUGCAUGGCUGUCGUCAGCUCGUGUCGUGAGAUGUUGGGUUAAGUCCCGCAACGAGCGCAACCCCCGUGUUCUGUUGCCACCCGGAUGAGAAUCCGGAGCACUCUGGACAGACUGCCUGGUUUCAACCAGGAGGAAGGUGGGGAUGACGUCAAGUCAGUAUGGCCCUUACGGCCAGGGCUGCACACGUACUACAAUGCCUGAUAUAAUGGGAAGCGAGACCGCGAGGUGGAGCAAAUCCUCAAAAUCAGGCCCAGUUCAGAUUGUAGGCUGCAACUCGCCUACAUGAAGGAGGAAUCGCUAGUAAUGCCGUAUCAGCUACGACGGCGUGAAUACGUUCCCAGGCCUUGUACACACCGCCCGUCACAUCAUGAAAGUCGAUUGUACCCGAAGUCGCUGAGUUAACCGCAAGGAGACAGGUGCCGAAGGUAUGGUUGGUAAUUGGGAUGAAGUCGUAACAAGGUAGCCGUAGGGGAACCUGUGGCUG